AACGUAGGAGGCGAGCGUUAUCCGGAUUUACUGGGUGUAAAGCGCGUGCAGGCGGUUCUGCAAGUCGUGCGUGAAAGCGCCCGGCUCAACCGGGCGAGGUCGUGCGAAACUGCAGAACUUGAGGUAGGUAGAGGCGUGUGGAAUUCCGGGUGUAGUGGUGAAAUGCGUAGAGAUCCGGAGGAACACCAGUGGCGAAGGCGACACGCUGGGCCUGACCUGACGCUCAGACGCGAAAGCAUGGGUAGCGAACGGG
rnacentral:rRNA from 1 species